CCUACGGGAGGCAGCAGUGAGGAAUAUUGGUCAAUGGGCGCGAGCCUGAACCAGCCAAGUCGCGUGAGGGAAGACGGUCCUAUGGAUUGUAAACCUCUUUUGUCGGGGAGCAAAAGACGCCACGCGUGGCGUUCCGAGAGUACCCGAAGAAAAAGCAUCGGCUAACUCCGUGCCAGCAGCCGCGGUAAUACGGAGGAUGCGAGCGUUAUCCGGAUUUAUUGGGUUUAAAGGGUGCGCAGGCGGAAGAUUAAGUCAGCGGUAAAAUUGAGAGGCUCAACCUCGUCGAGCCGUUGAAACUGGGGUUCUUGAGUGAGUGAGAAGUAUGCGGAAUGCGUGGUGUAGCGGUGAAAUGCAUAGAUAUCACGCAGAACUCCGAUUGCGAAGGCAGCAUACCGGCGCUCAACUGACGCUCAUGCACGAAAGUGUGGGUAUCGAACAGGAUUAGAUACCCGGGUAGUC
rnacentral:rRNA from 1 species